rnacentral:rRNA from 1 species
AGUUUGAUCAUGGCUCAGAACGAACGCUGGCGGCAUGCCUAACACAUGCAAGUCGAACGAGACCUUCGGGUCUAGUGGCGCACGGGUGCGUAACGCGUGGGAAUCUGCCCUUUGCUUCGGAAUAACAGUUAGAAAUGACUGCUAAUACCGGAUGAUGUCUUCGGACCAAAGAUUUAUCGGCAAAGGAUGAGCCCGCGUAGGAUUAGGUAGUUGGUGGGGUAAAAGGCCUACCAAGCCGACGAUCCUUAGCUGGUCUGAGAGGAUGAUCAGCCACACUGGGACUGAGACACGGCCCAGACUCCUACGUGAGGCAGCAGUGGGGAAUAUUGGACAAUGGGCGCAAGCCUGAUCCAGCAAUGCCGCGUGAGUGAUGAAGGCCUUCGGGUCGUAAAGCUCUUUACCAGGGAUGAUAAUGACAGUACCUGGAGAAUAAGCUCCGGCUAACUCCGUG